UACGGCCAUAUCACGUCGAAACAUUGGUUCUCGUACGAUCAUAGCAGUUAAGCAACGUUAAGCUUGGUCAGUACCUAAAUGGGUGACCGCUUGGGAAUAC